GCCCCGGCAGCUGCCCGAGACCAGGCUUCUCCAGCCACUCCUCCUGCAGGAAGCUGUCCCCCGGCCCCACCCAGCGAAGGAGGGGCCCCCUCCCGCCAGCCCUCCACCUGCCCAAGGCCUGGGAGUCUCCAGUGAAUGCUCAAGUGGGAAUCCCAACGAGGUGUCUGGGAGCCUGCGGGCCGCACGCAAACCCACCAACCCAACCCCAUCCUGAUAAACAGUUUCCAAGCAGUUGGUUUCGUUUUGGGGGCAGGCUGGUGACAGCCCAUCCCCACCUGGGCCCCGUUCCAAACUCCAGGACAAGCCCAGGCAGGGGGAUGGGGUUGAAGAGGGUCGGCUCAGCGUCUCAGGGCCAGGGUGCUGCAGGGAACCACAAACAAACUGUAAAGUGCUGUCUUGCUUUGUGAAUUACCAUGUGUCCCACCCAGCUUCCAGCCUGGUGGUCUGUGGUCCUGGGCAGUGCAGACAGACUGGUUACAACAGUACAAUCUCUUUAUUGUUAUAUUUGCCCAGAAGGUUCACCCCACGUUGUCCUUUUCAAUCCUGGGCCCAGAGGUGCAUGGAGCAGGAAGAAAUAUCUCCGUUUUUCAGAGGAGAAAAGUAAGGCCCAGAAGGCGAGGUGACAGCCCGGGUGACAAAGCUGCCCAGCCCCAUUGGACAGAUGAGCGGGUCGAGGCAGGAGACAUGGACCCGCCUGAGGCAACAGGGAAGCAACACAGAGGCAGGUGCAACCCAUCUCCCUGGUCCCCCCCCACCGGCUGGACACCGAGCCCCUCCUCGAACUUGGUAACUGAAGUUUGUGGCCAGCUCCCAGGCUCGGCACAGGGUCUGGCACAGAGUCCGGGGGACCUAGUGGGACCCGCCGAUGCCUGGCUCCAGCCAAGGAAGACAGGAACUUUCCUUGAAGAGUAAACAGAACCUGUGGCCUGGCCACGGGGCCCCCGGGGGCCUCUGAUCCCGCCGCUGUGAGGCUCUGAGGUCCCCCCGAGCGCCCAAGUGCGGAAACACCUGCAGGCCCCAGGACGAGGCGGCAGGCGUGUGGGAGAACCUCAGGUCAGGUGCUUCCCAGCGGGGACAACGCUGUCCCCGCAGCCGCGGCCUGGCCAGAGCGGGAACCAGCUGAGUGAGGGUCCAGGGCUGGAGGGAGGGUGCCCACUGCUGGGCCUGGGUGGGAGGGGGCUCCAGGCCAGAGGCAGCCAGUGGGGCAGCCCCUGGCCGGGCCACAGUGGCUACGGGAGGAAGGUGCAGACAGGCUUUGGGCCAAGGGUCUGUCCCGGCCCCGGGGUCACCAGCUGUAUGUAGGGGCUUCACCACAGACCAUGCAGCUCAGGAGAGCUCAGGAACUGUGUUACUCCUGCACCAGACGGCCAGGCGGGCGGCCGGCUGGCCUAGCCAUCGGGCUCCUGCAGGGGUCUGAGGAAGGAGACCCGGAAGCCUGGACUCUCCUGGCUCUGCCCCCAACCCCUCGUGUAGCCUUGAAUGCCGUCCUUCCCUCCUGGCCUCAGUUUCCCAGUGGUCUUGCUUAGCCUCCAGUGGGACUGCUGUGGGGCAAAAGGAGAAGAUGAACUACCAGUUGCCUUAUAACCAAUAAACCUCUGGCAGAGUGCUAACAGCUUCGGGUGUGGCUGCACCCAGGGGCUCCGGCAGCGUUUAGUUUCUGGGUUUGAAGCCAGCUUGGGACGUUUGUAACCCAAACCAGUCCCCUCUGGUUGUGUUGUGUGUGUUCCUCUCCUUGGAAAGGCCGGGCACUGGGCUUGGGUUCGGAGACCUGGACACUCCGGCGGCCCAAAGAUGCCGUGUGCCAUGGUCUCUUCUGUGUUAAUUCAAGUUCCAGUGCCGUCACCUUCGAGCAGUUUUUGCCCCGACAGGACGAGAGGAUCUGUCUGUAGCCUGAAGCAGACUCGUCCAGGCAGACACAGGCCGUGCAUGCUCCACCCUGCACCUGAACAGACGUGAACACGGCCCCUGGUUGCGUCGUCUCCCCUGGAGAGAGAGCAGCCGCAGCCACGUGCCGGCAGAUCUCUGCUCCCGUGUCACCUGCUCGAGGAGCCUCCUGCCUGGACCCCACCAAGACGAGGCCUAGCACCUGCCUCCCUGACCCCAUAACCCGCACGGCCCCCCACCAGGACAGGCCUGUGGACGCACCUGGUCACCAUCUCCCUCCUCCCACCUGUACCCUGCACAGCAGGGGGAGGGCUCAAGAAAUAGAUCCUGAGUUCCUGGGAGAUCCUGUCACCUGUCCCCACCAGGGCACCCUCCCUGCCCCCUGCCCUGCUUCCAUUAAAACCUGCCUCCUUAAAACCUAAGACGAUGGUGCCACUUCCCGGCUUCUACCCUCUAGAACGGCCUUAACCAGUCUCUUUCCCUAGUCUGUGCCCAGGCUGGGGCAGCUGGGCUGGGGUCCAGGCUCCAUGAUGGGAGAGGUGGGGCCCAAGGCUGUUAGCACAGGCACCUGGCCUGUCACUGCUGACCAACAGGUGGGCAGACAGACGAAGGGACCGGUGACAACAGGCUGUGUGACAUGCCCAGUGCUGCCUCUGUCUCGGUCAGGGUCCCUGGGACCAGCCUUGGGGGGGACAAAGCCCCCGGCCCACCUCUCCCACCUGGGCUUCACAGAGCCCCCCAUCCCCCGUGCGGUUCUAAGUGAGCAGCAGGUGUCAUUACAGCCAUGCUCUGAAGAAAGGACAGACCCCUCUGUGGGGACCAAAGAGUGGAGACACUGGCACAUUCCAUGAGGCCCUUCAGACCCCGAAGGCCACAGCAACCCUGCGGCGGCUGAAGUGUCCUUCGGGGACAGGCGGCGGGCGGCUCUGCGAGCCGGGAAGCGCGGCCACGUUGAAGACUCCGGCGUUGCUCCCUGCUGAUGCUAGAAGGUUCUUGCGAGGGCCAGGCGGCUGCAGACCCAUUGCUUGUCCCAGAAGCUCUGUGGCUCUCGCACGUUCACCGGGCAUUGCCACCAACGCGCCUGUUUUUAUUUAAAUGGCCCGGAGCGAGUCUCCGACUAAACUAACAUUCCCACGCCAACACUCAGCAGCGCCUCUGGUUUUUGGCAGAUUUUUUCCCCUAGCUGUCAAAGGGAAAAUAUAG